rnacentral:rRNA from 1 species
AGUCGGAUUAUGGCUCAGAUUGAACGCUGCGGAUGCUUUACAUGUCGAACGGCAGCACGGACUUCGGUCUGGUGGCGAGUGGCGAACGGGUGAGUAAUGUAUCGAACAGCCUAGUGGGGAUAACUACGCGAAAGCGGGUAGCCAAUACCGCAUACUGCCCUUCGGGGAAGCGGGGACCUUCUGGCCUCGCACUAUUAUAGCGGCCGGAUAUCGGAUUAGCUAGUUGGUAGGUAAUUCGGGUCACCAAUAAGGCGACGACCGUAGCUGUUUGAGAGGACGAAUUGCACAACACUGGGACUGGAGAUGGCGGCCCAGACUCCCUACGGGAGGCAGCAGUGAAUUUUGGGAUAAAUGGGGAAACCCUGAUCCAAAGCCAUCCCUGCGUGGGUGCGAUGAAGCGCCUUCAAGCCAAAAGCACUUACAGGAAAGAAACGGCACGGGAUAAUACCCUGCGCAACUGACGGUACCUGCAGGACACACCGGCUAACUGCGCCAGCAGCCGCGUAAUACGUAGGGUAAGCGUUAAUCGGAAAUUACUGGGCGUAAAAGCGUGCGCGGGUAUGGUCUGGAAAGAAAGAUGUGAAAUCCCAGAGCUUAACUUUGAACUGCAUUUUUAACUACCGGUUAGAGGUAAAGCCAGAGAGGGAGGUGGAAUUCCGCGUGUAACAGUGAAAUGCGUAGAUAUGCGGAGGAACACCGAUGGCGAAGGCAGCCUCCUGGGAGUAACACUGACGCUCAUGCACGAAAGCGUGGGGAGCAAACAGGAUUAGAUACCCUGGUAGUCCACGCCCUAAACGAUGUCAACUAGCUGUUGGGGCUUUCGGGCCUGCAGAAUGCAGCAGCUAACGCGUGAAGUUGACCGCCUGGGAGCACGGUCGCAAGAUUAAAACUCAAAGGAAUUGAUUGGGGGACCGCACAAGCGGUGAUGAUGUGGAUUGACCGAUGCAACGCGAAAACCUAUCACCUUGCGAUAUGUCUGGAAUCCUGAAGAGAUUUAGCGUCGUAAGAGAACGAAUCACAGGAAGGCAUGGCUGUCGUCGGCCUGUGUCGUGGAGAUGUUGGGUUAAGUCCCGCAACGAGCGCAACCUUGUCAUUAAGAAGGUUACGAAAGGGCACAAUUUCGAUGAGACUGCCGGUGACAAACCGGAGGAAGGUGGGGAUGACGUUCAAGUCUCAUAUCUUUACAGGUAGGGCUUCGUCGUCAUACAUGACGUGGACAGAGGGUCGCCAACCCAAGAGGGGAGCGUGAAUCCAGAACGCCGACUGGGGUCCGAUCGCAGUCUGCAACCUCGACUGCGGAAGUCGGAAUCGCUAGUAAUCGCGGAUCAGCAUGUCGCGGUGAAUACGUUCCUGGUCUUGGUAUGGCACGGUUCGUCACACCAUGGGAGUGGGUUUUACCAGAAGUAGUUAGCCUAACCGUGGCGGAGGCGACUACUACGGGUAGGAUCUGCGACCGGGGCAGUCGCAACGCGUAACCUCAGCUACCGCCACCUGAUGCCCGUGAUAAUACCAACCGA